UACGUAGGGCGCAAGCGUUGUCCGGAAUUAUUGGGCGUAAAGAGCUCGUAGGCGGCUUGUCGCGUCUGUCGUGAAAGCUUGGGGCUUAACCCCAAGUCUGCGGUGGAUACGGGCAGACUAGAGGCAGGUAGGGGAGAACGGAAUUUCCGGUGUAGCGGUGAAAUGCGCAGAUAUCGGGAGGAACACCGGUGGCGAAGGCGGUUCUCUGGGCCUGUACUGACGCUGAGGAGCGAAAGCGUGGGGAGCGAACAGG
rnacentral:rRNA from 1 species